rnacentral:rRNA from 1 species
AACGAACGCUGGCGGCGCGUCUUAAGCAUGCAAGUCGAAUGGCAAGAUCUGUGCUUGCACAGAUCCUAGAAUGGCGGACUGGUGAGUAACGCGUGGGUGACGUACCUUUGGAUGGGGAUAGCUCCUGGAAACAGGAGAUAAUACCGAAUACGCUGCAUGGGAACAGAGGCCAUGCAGGAAAGUAUCUUUUGAUACGCCGAAAGAGCGGCCCGCGGGCUAUUAGCUUGUUGGCGGGGUAACGGCCCACCAAGGCGACGAUAGCUACCCGGCCUAAGAGGGUGAUCGGGCACAUUGGGACUGAGAUACGGCCCAGACUCCUACGGGAGGCAGCAGCUAAGAAUAUUCCGCAAUGGACGAAAGUCUGACGGAGCGACGCCGCGUGGACGAGGAAGGACCCGGAAGGUUGUAAAGUCCUUUUAUGACUGAGGAAUAAGCAGAGUGAGAGAAACGCUCUGUGGUGACUGUAGGUCAUGAAUAAGCAACGGCUAAUUACGUGCCAGCCGCCGC